GUGCUUGCUAAAGUUGGAAGGACGGAAGGAGCAGAUGGAAGGAGCCCCCAGGGAAAGAGAACUGUGGUGGUAGUAAGCAGCACGUGCAUUCAUAGGACCUUCAUGCCUGGGACUCUGAAGAUUUUAAUCCUGGGUUGCCGUCAUGGUGGUGAUGAGUCUCAGAACCUGAGACUCUUAAAUCUCAAAACCAUGGAGCCUGCAUGUGGCUAAGAGCUUGGGCUCUACCCUCAGAGUCUGAACUCUUAUUUUUGCCUAAGGCCAGCAGUAUGUGACACCAUCUCAUUUGUGAUGCUGGGCAGUGGCGAUGGGCCACAGCUCCCAGUCAGCCACGAUUAUGAAGGAAUGCAGUUUUCCUAAGCUUCAAUCCACUCAGCAUGUGUGCCUUCCAACAGACCUGCAGCCACUAGUAGGUGGAAUCUUAUCUUAUCUGAGGGGCUUCUUCUAUGACUUACAGGGAGAUGUUGCAUUCUCCUUAUGUAUAA